CCGGCGCACGGGUGCGUAACGCGUAUGCAACCUACCUUUAACAGGGGAUAACACUGAGAAAUUGGUACUAAUACCCCAUAAUAUCAUAGAAGGCAUCUUUUAUGGUUGAAAAUUCCGAUGGUUAGAGAUGGGCAUGCGUUGUAUUAGCUAGUUGGUGGGGUAACGGCUCACCAAGGCGAUGAUGCGUAGCCGGCCUGAGAGGGUAAACGGCCACAUUGGGACUGAGACACGGCCCAA
rnacentral:rRNA from 1 species